rnacentral:rRNA from 1 species
UACGGAGGAUCCGAGCGUUAUCCGGAUUUAUUGGGUUUAAAGGGUGCGUAGGCGGCGCGGUAAGUCGGGUGUGAAAUUUCGAGGCUUAACUUCGAAACUGCAUUCGAUACUGCCGUGCUUGAGGACUGGAGAGGAGACUGGAAUUUACGGUGUAGCGGUGAAAUGCGUAGAUAUCGUAAGGAAGACCAGUGGCGAAGGCGGGUCUCUGGACAGUUCCUGACGCUGAGGCACGAAGGCCAGGGGAGCAAACGGG